UCCAUCUCAGGGAGACCUGGCCUUCAGAGAUGACAGCAUUCAACCCCAAGAGGAGCCUGCUUUUCAUCCUCAGCCUUCCCAACCUGUGCCGCCCAUGGGGAUACAGGACAGUAACGAGCUAAACAAAACCUGCUGCCUGAAUGGGGGGAACUUGUAUGCUGGGGUCCUUUUGUGCCUGCUUCCCCUCCUUCUACAGACGGAAUUGUGAGCACCAUGUACGUAUGCAAAGAGAACUGUGGGUCUGUGCCCCGUGACACCCGGCUGCCCAAGAACUGUUCUAUGUGUAAAUGCUGGCAUGGCCAGCUCCGCUGCUUUCCUCAGGCAUUUCUACCUGGCUGUGAUGGCCUUGUGAUGGAUGAGCACCUCAUGGUUUCCAAUACUCCAGAACUACUACUGUCUGCAUGUACCACUCUUAUGCUUUAAAAUAAUGAAUACAUUUCCAUAAUGG
rnacentral:lncRNA from 1 species